AUGAAGGGUAUGAUCUUGGCUCAGAACGAACGCUGGCGGCGUGGAUUAGGCAUGCAAGUCGAACGAGGGAGUAUUUCGAAAGAGAUACAAACCGAGUGGCGUAAGGGUGAGCAAUGCAUUGAUAACCUACCUCUGAGAUGAGGAUAACAACGUUCCAAGCAAUUGGAACUACCGAAAGGGUUGCUAAUACUCAAUAAAACUAUGAAUACCUUAGUAUUGAUAGUCAAAUGUCUGGAGCCGUAAGGUUCCAUUUGCUCAGAGAGGGGUCAAUGCCCUAUCAGCUAGUUGGCAGGGUAAUGGCCUACCAAGGCGAAGACGGGUAGCCGGCCUGAGAGGGUGGUCGGCCACACUGGGACUGAGACACUGCCCAGACUCCUACGGGAGGCUGC
rnacentral:rRNA from 1 species